GUAGGGAAUAUUGGGCAAUGGAGGCAACUCUGACCCAGCCAUGCCGCGUGCAGGAUGACGGCCCUCUGGGUUGUAAACUGCUUUUAUACGGGAAGAAAAAAUACUACGUGUAGUAUACUGGCGGUACCGUAAGAAUAAGGAUCGGCUAACUCCGUGCCAGCAGCCGCGGUAAUACGGAGGAUCCAAGCGUUGUCCGGAUUUAUUGGGUUUAAAGGGUGCGUAGGCGGAUCUUUAAGUCAGUGGUGAAAGCCUGCAGCUUAACUGUAGAAUUGCCAUUGAAACUGAAGAUCUUGAAUGUGGUUAAAGUAGGCGGAAUGUAUCAUGUAGCGGUGAAAUGCUUAGAUAUGAUACAGAACACCGAUAGCGAAGGCAGCUUGCUGAACCAUUAUUGACGCUGAGGCACGAAAGCGUGGGGAGCGAACAGGAUUAGAAACCCUUGUAGUCC
rnacentral:rRNA from 1 species